UAUAAAAAGGCAAAAAAUAGCAAAGACGAUUGUGAAAGAUGAUGCUAUACAUCUAUAAUGUCUUCUCUGCCCUUAUAUUUAGUUGUGUAUGUAUUUGUGUAUAUAAUUUUUAAUUGAAAUAAAUAAUAAUAGUAUUGGUUCACACACAGAAAAAUAAACCAGCCUAUAAUAUAUAUAAAAGUAUAUGUAAUGACCACUCUUCUUUAAAUACAAAAAAAAAAAAAUACAGGCCAAAUAAUCUCUGCUACCACAAAAGAUUGGAUUUAUAAAUCAAGUCACAAAAAUCUUGUAAUACUACCAAGUACAUCUCUCUUUUCUUCUUCAUGGUCUGAAGAACAAAAGCAAACUACUGAGUUUGUUACCGACUAGUCUGUUCAAGCAGGUAAGUAAUGACUGCCUUAAGAAAGCCAGCUGCAGUUGCAGUGUGAUCUGGACCUCCCGGUCAGCAUGACUGCAGGUUUACAUUUGUUAUAACAAAAUGUAAAGGGUGAGUGAAUAGCUACAAGCGUGAUAUGCAUUGGCUACAGGUUGAGUGGGUUUCCCACUGUCAUGAAACACCCGAAUCUCAUAACAUAAUACUUCGCCUCUUUCAGAUCUUAACCAAAUAAUGUUUUGUGGCUUCUUCAUUGUACAGAAUGCCUUCCUCAUGAUAAAGUCAGUCCAUCAAGCAAGAUAACCAAGGAAUGGUGCUGACAUCCAAGGACAAGCUACUGCAACAAACCAUCAAUAUAAAUGCAUUAGAGAUGGAAUGGUCUCAGUGAUGGAUACGAUACAUCGUGCAGAAUUUGACAAAUGCCGCAAGUGACUGGAUCAUGGGAAAAACAAAUGAAGGAGAGAUCUUCUACUUGGUCUCUGCAGCCAUUCUCACUGUCAUGGUUCCCAGUGUCAAUUUUCCUGCUUCAUUCUGCCAGCUUUGAUGGAUUUUUGUUCUUAUUUUUGGAGUAGAGGGAAUUCAUUGAACUAUUUUUCCUCAUUCUGCUGUGUGCCUGGCGGGAUUUUUGGAUCUGAGGUUUUAUACUUUUCUUCCAUUGUGAUUUAAAUACACAUAUUGUUUAUCUUUUAUGUAGGCCCCUUUAUAAUAGUGUACUC
rnacentral:lncRNA from 1 species